UUUUCUAAUUCUUAAAAUUAGAAAUGGCAUGGACAUAAAACGAAUAGGCCUUAAAACUGCACUCAUUGUGCACCAGUGUUGCACCAGUUUUCAGUAGAAAACGUGUCGGCAAGCUGCGGUGGGGACUUGAGGAGAUAGGCCGAUAUUGCUAUAGCCCUGCUUCACGUAUUCAAAAGUUUUGAAUAAUCUCUACUUUUGCUAUUCGCCGAUCGCCAGAUAAAGGAAGGUAGAAAUCUCUAAUAUCUGUCUUAUCAAUCCGCUUAAAAUAUGGUUGUAAGUUAAGCACAUUCUUGUCUAAUUUUCCCUCCCUCUCUCGACGUUGCGUUGCGUGGAGGCUCGUUGGCGUCUCGUUUCUCCUUCAAGAAGAAUACGCCAUAGAGGUCUGCUGAAGUUUUACAUCAUCAGAGCGCCAUAUACUCAUAUACCGUUCUUGAAAUACUUAGGAGACUGGUAGAAGCAAAAAGAAGGUGGAAGGAAGGAUCCGAUCCGAGAUCCGAAGAUAUACGGUGAUUGUGAUUGCGCGACCGGCAACCGCGGCAGGGCGACGACGCGCCACGUGAAAUUGUCCAUUUUCAUAAAGAGAUACGUUGCCAGCUACCGCCCUAACCUAUUUCCAACAGCGUGCGUCUGACCCACGCGUGAACCUCGAGCCUCGGAUACAUUUGUCGCAAAUCACUAAAACCUGCGAAACGAUAUUUUAACGGAAGUUGCAGUAGUUGCAUCCGUGUUUUGCAUGUUGCCGGUUGCUUCAGCUUUCUAUGUAAGCCUGUGCGUUUGCGCGGAAAAGCCGCGAACAGAUUUCAAGGAUGAGCAAGGCCGAGAAACGUGAAGAGAUCCGCCAGCUUAUCCAGGCGUUAUUGCUCUCCCGAAAUGGCGCCACAGCUGUACCGCUUCUAGAGAGAGACUAUUAUAAUGCGGAGAACACCCGUAUACCGUAUCGUCUAUUUGGUUAUUCCAAUUUAGUGGAAUUUCUCCAAAGUUUCCCGGAACAUUUCAUUGUCGAGCAGUACAACGGCGGUCACUACGUACGCGGGAUUCCGUCGGAGAGAAGUAGGCACGUCAGCUCGUUGGUGUCACGUCAGAGGAUGAGAGAAUGUAUCCGCAAUGAUCAAUCGUGAUCACAGAUUUUUUAAUACAUAAAACGAUCAUGAAGUUUCUUAUUGACAGGUGUAAAAAAGAUGACACGAAAAUAGAUUUUACAUUUUUUUA